AGAGUUUUGAUCCUCGGCUCAGGAUGAACGCUGGCGGCGUGCCUAACACAUGCAAGUCGAGCGAUUCUCUUCGGAGAAGAGCGGCGGACGGGUGAGUAACGCGUGGGUAACCUGCCCUGUACACACGGAUAACAUACCGAAAGGUAUGCUAAUACGGGAUAACAUAUGAAAGUCGCAUGGCUUUUAUAUCAAAGCUCCGGCGGUACAGGAUGGACCCGCGUCUGAUUAGCUAGUUGGUAAGGUAACGGCUUACCAAGGCGACGAUCAGUAGCCGACCUGAGAGGGUGAUCGGCCACACUGGAACUAAGACACGGUCCAGACUCCUACGGGAGGCAGCAGUGGGGAAUAUUGCACAAUGGGCGAAAGCCUGAUGCAGCAACGCCGCGUGAGCGAUGAAGGCCUUCGGGUCGUAAAGCUCUGUCCUCAAGGAAGAUAAUGACGGUACUUGAGGAGGAAGCCCCGGCUAACUACGUG
rnacentral:rRNA from 1 species